UUGUAAAACGCGGCCAGUUGUAAACAAGAGGUACCAUAAUCAGCAAUGUUUUAAUGAAGAACUGUAUGAUGGCGGAGACGAGGGCUUAACUGUCUCCUCUUUUCAGUCAAUGAAAUUGAUCUCCCCGUGCAGAAGCGGGGAUAUGAACAUAAGACGAGAAGACCCUAUGGAGCUUUAGACACCAUGACAGACCAUGUUAAGCACCCUGUCACAACAAAAUAAACUUAGGGGCCUCCUGUCCUAAUGUUUUCUGGUGGGGCGACCAGGGGGUAGCACACCACCCCCUGGCAGAAUAGGAGGACAACCCAAUAUUUUUCCCCUCCCCCCUCAAACUAGAGUUACAUCUCAAACUAACAGAAUCUCUGACGCAAAAUGAUCCGGCUUUAUCCGAUCAACGGACCAAGUUACCCUAGGGAUAACAGCGCAAUCCCCUUUUAGAGCCCAUAUCGACAAGGGGGUUUACGGACCUCGAUGUUGGAUCAGGACAUCCUAAUGGUGCAGCCGCUAUUAAGGGUUCGUUUGUUCAACGAUUAAAGUCCUACGGGAUCUAAGUUCUUACCGG
rnacentral:rRNA from 1 species